rnacentral:lncRNA from 1 species
GGCCUAUCUUUCCACAAUUAUAACAAGUACAUUCUUUUAUAGAUUUCUUCUUUCUAUAUGGUCUUUUAUGUUUAUAAUUUUUGACAUAAUAUCUUUUUCUUGGUUUCUUAUAUUUAUAUUUUGAUUUUUUAUAUUUCUUAUAUUUCUUAUGUCUUUUUCUUUUCUUAUAAUAUCUUUCUUCGCAUCCAAAUUGGGGUGCUAUUUUAUUUUUGCAA